rnacentral:misc_RNA from 1 species
CGUCGAAGGUGGGGCUGAUGACUGGGGUGAAGUCGUAACAAGGUAUCCGUACCGGAAGGUGCGGAUGGAUCACCUCCUAACAGGGAGACAACACAAUGAUUUUGAUGCCUGAGUGCUUUUAUUCUUAGGCCGAAAUCCUGUCACCUUAGGUCGAUCGGUACCUCAGCUUUGAAGUCAAGGAUCAGCAGUAAUGUUGAUUGCUUGAUGGAGAUUUUCAGUUCCUAAACUUUGUCUAGGUCACACCCCAAAAGGGAUGAGACUCCUGGGCCAUUAGCUCAGGUGGUUAGAGCGCACCCCUGAUAAGGGUGAGGUCCCUGGUUCAAGUCCAGGAUGGCCCAUUCGGUGUUGGGGGUUUAGCUCAGUUGGUAGAGCGCCUGCUUUGCAAGCAGGAUGUCAGGAGUUCGAGUCUCCUAACCUCCACUGACCGAACUUGAUUCCCAUCUCCAAUUUUUUGGAGUUGAGCUCGAUUGGAGUGUGAUUUAGAUGUGUCCGCUGGAUGACCCCAGCUUCCUGUCAUUCCAAGUUUUAGGUUAAAGCCUUGAAUUUGGUUGAUAAGAUGCUGGGCUCGGAUCAAAUGAUCAAGCAAUUGAUGAUUUGAUUUGAAGUUCUAGCAGAACCUUGACAACUGCAUAGGUGAGUCUGGAAAAAACAAAGCAUCUUACAGAUGCAUUGUUUUGAAUCUGAUCUUCUGAAAGGGAGAUUAGAUCUAGAACAAUGAAAAUUCUUUUGAGCAAGAGCCGAGACUCUUGAGCGUUCUUUGAUUGGUGUCGAGCCAAUCAGAGUUUGAUCUUGUUUUUAGCAAUAAAAACUUGAGAAUCUGCUUUCAACGGCGGUAAGCGUUCAGGAGGUUAAUUGGUCAAGCUACAAAGGGCUCACGGC